UCUGGGAUGGAUCUGCGGCCCAUCAGCUAGUUGGUGAGGUAACGGCUCACCAAGGCUACGACGGGUAGCUGGUCUGAGAGGAUGAUCAGCCACACUGGAACUGAGACACGGUCCCAGACUCCUACGGGAGGCAGCAGUGGGGAAUCUUGCGCAAUGGGCGAAAGCCUGACGCAGCGACGCCGCGUGGGUGACGAAGGCCUUCGGGUUGUAAAGCCCUGUGGGGAGGAACGAACCGUCCGGGGGCCAAUACCCUCCGGGCCUGACGGUACCUCUUUAGCAAGCAUCGGCUAACUCUGUGCCAGCAGCCGCGGUAAGACAGAGGAUGCGAACGUUGCUCGGAAUUACUGGGCGUAAAGCGCGCGUAGGUGGCCUUGUAAGUCUCGUGUGAAAGCCCUCUGCUCAACGGAGGAAGUGCACGGGAUACUGCGAGGCUGGAGUACAGAAGAGGACAGCGGAAUUCCCGGUGUAGAGGUGAAAUUCGUAGAUAUCGGGAGG
rnacentral:rRNA from 1 species